AGCAGUGGGGAAUAUUGGACAAUGGGCGGAAGCCUGAUCCAGCCAUGCCGCGUGUGUGAAGAAGGCCUUUUGGUUGUAAAGCACUUUAAGCGAGGAGGAGGCUACUGGUACUAAUACUACUGGAUAGUGGACGUUACUCGCAGAAUAAGCACCGGCUAACUCUGUGCCAGCAGCCGCGGUAAUACAGAGGGUGCGAGCGUUAAUCGGAUUUACUGGGCGUAAAGCGUGCGUAGGCGGCUGAUUAAGUCGGAUGUGAAAUCCCUGAGCUUAACUUAGGAAUUGCAUUCGAUACUGGUCAGCUAGAGUAUGGGAGAGGAUGGUAGAAUUCCAGGUGUAGCGGUGAAAUGCGUAGAGAUCUGGAGGAAUACCGAUGGCGAAGGCAGCCAUCUGGCCUAAUACUGACGCUGAGGUACGAAAGCAUGGGGAGCAAACAGGAUUAGAUACCCUGGUAGUCCAUGCCGUAAACGAUGUCUACUAGCCGUUGGGGCCUUUGAGGCUUUAGUGGCGCAGCUAACGCGAUAAGUAGAC
rnacentral:rRNA from 1 species